AUUCAGCCAUGUGUUUAUAAGAUGGGUUUUCCUGGUUGUCUCAGUGUCCUUCCCUGCCACUGUAGGAAUACAGGCAAAUACUACUUGUAUGCCUGCUCCAUCAACUAUCCUUCUUAGUCCCCUAAAAUCAUUUUUUAUAGUCCUCAGGUUUCUGUCACUGACCUCGUCACUGCUGGCCUGAACUAUCAGUAAAGGAUAAUAAUCAGAGGGGCAGAUCAGACUGGGAAGUUUUCUAGAAAUAUCCCUGGCCUGGGCCCCAGGAAGGCAGCACACUUUCCUGCAGGGCUUCAAACCUAUUACAUAGAGGCACCUGGGGAACCGAGGCAUGCAGUAUAUGUGCAUGAAGAGGUAACUGCAUCUCAUGUUGCAAGUGGGAUAAGUCAGUGGCACACCAAUGAAUUGCUUCAAUUUUGGUUCCAUCUGAGAAGAAACCAUUUCUCAGCACAGAAGUUGUAUACAGUGGUACAUCCUGCAAGACUCUAAUGAGAUUUAAAGAUGUUCAGGCAUGGAAGAAGCCUCCACAGCGCUGCUUAACAGAAAAGUAACAGAAUGUAACAGAAAAGGCACUGUCCUACAGUACCUGAAGCCUAAUGAAGACCAAGGAUUAUUUUCAGUCUUUUAUUAUUUUAGUAAGUUUUUAGAAAUAUCACAGAUGAGCCAAUAGCUCAGUGCUUUCCUUCAUGAAGAGCUGAGGGAGAUGAUGCAGACCUUCCUUCUCUGGAGGGUUAGCUACGGGGAGGCUGAUAGAAAGCAACAUUAAGCGUGGCCUUGGCUCUGUGCUUAGGUAUAAACACAUGUAGAAACAUUUGCCUUCAACUGUGUGCUCUCAAGUGAUUUUUGUUGUUUUUUCAUUACUGGCAUUUACUACCUCCUAUAUUAUUGAAAAGAUGUUAGGUUGUAUUUCUGCAAAUAAAAUUAUAAUAAAUGAGGCAAUAUCCUACCAGCAGCUUGUGAACGUAACUAAAGCUGAAUUUGUAUAUUUCCAUUAAAAGUGUCUUAUUCUGUU
ensembl:lncRNA